GAUCUGUAGUGUAACGGUAACAGACCGGACCUUUAAUCCGUGAGAUGAGGGUUCAAAUCCCUCCGGAUCC
rnacentral:tRNA from 1 species